rnacentral:lncRNA from 1 species
GAUAGUGUGGAACAUUGUCGUAAUACGUGAAGUCUUGCUUGAGAAUGCUCAGGGCACCUGGUUGUGGAAGGAAGAAUGGAAAUUGCAAUAACAAAAUCCUAAUUCUAAUAGAAUACUAUCAAUGCUUUAAUUAGACCAUAAUAAUGCUAAGCAAGCUUAAUCAAAUUCAAAAAAAUCUCAAAGAAAUUUCAAACAAACAAUAGGAAUUCUUAAAGAAAUAUUAGAAGGGUCACAAAUAUCACUCAAAUAUAUCUCAAUUCAAUCUUAAUUUAAUUCUAGUUAAAAUCCUAUUGAACUUCAUUCAAACUUUAAGCCAAAACUAAUUGAAUCUUAAAUCCGAAUAAAAUCCUAAACCCUAAAUCAAACCCUAAACAAACCUUAAAUCAAAUCUCAACCAAAUCCUAAACCAAAUCCUAACCAAAUCCUAAACCAAACCCUAAUCCUAAAUCAAACCCUAACCAAACUCUAAAUCAAACCCUAAAUCCUUAACCAAAUCCUAAAUCAAACCCUAAAUCCUUAACCAAAUCCUAAUCAAAUCCUAAAUCCUAAAUAAAUCCUAAAUCCCAAACCCUAAAUUCUAAAUUAAAUCCUAAU